ensembl:lncRNA
GAGUACAUGAGAGUGGGGAGGGUUAGAGAGAGAAAUAGGCCCCUCGCCGAGCAGGGACCCGAUGCGGGACUCAAAGCCGGGACUCCAGGAUCAUGACCCAAGCCAAAGGCAGUCGCUUAACCAACUGAACCACCCAGAAGCCCGGGACCCGCAUGCUUUUAAAUACAAUCCAGCCUCUCGGUGCGACAGCCAACACUUCCACCCUAGGAAGGCGACGGGGUGUCCUGGGAAUUCUGGGAAGUGUAGUCCGGGAACACAGCGCCGCAGGAUAACUUCCGCUGUAGGAGGCCGAGGCUGCGUCCCUGCUCCCGUCGGGAAUUCUGGGAAGCGUAGUCCAAGAGCUCACUGUCGGCAGAGUCGCUUCCGCUCCAGGUACGCGAGGCCGCGGCCUUCAUUACUCUGCGAAAGCUUUUCCAGUUACUGCAGUGUGCAGCAGCAUGAGCAGCAAAGUCUCCUGGGACAGGCUGUACAAAGCAAUGAGGGAAGUCCUGCACAGCAACCAGCACAAGCACUGGAAGUUUUCAGAGACUGUGGAGCUGCAAACCAGCCUGAAGAACUAUGACCCUCAGAAGGACAAACCCUCCUUGGGCACCAUCAGGCUUAAUUAAGUCUACUCCUUGCCCUAAGUUCUCCAUGUGUGAUUUAGGGGAUCAGCAGUACUGUGAUGAGGUCAAGGCCGUGGAUAUUCCCCACAUUGGCAUGGAGGCACUGAAGACUCAGUAAGAAUAAAAAAUUAGUCAAGAAGUUGGCCAAGAAGUAUGAUGCCCUUUUGGCUUCAGGGUCCCUGAUCAAGCAGAUCCACUAAUUCUGGGCCCAGGCCUGAAUAAGCCUGGUAAGUUCCCUUCCUUGUUGACCCACAAUGAGAACAUGGUGGCCAAAGUGGAUGAAGUGAAGUCCACAAUCAAAUUCCAAAUGAAGAAGGUGUUGUGUCUGGCAGUGGCCAUUAGCCAUGUGAAGAUGACAGAUGAUGAGCUUGUGUACAACAUCCACUUAGCUGUCAAUUUCCUGGUGUCCUUGCUCAAGAAGAACUGACAGAACAUCUGGGCUUUAUACAUGAAAAGCAUCAUGGCCAAACCCCAGCGCCUGUACUAAGGCACAGCUUAAUAAGCCCUAGUGCUGCCAUUAAAACAAAAACAAAAGCCUCUCAAUGCUUCAGUAUUCUCAACAGUAAAAAUUGUCUUAAUCCUUUGGGUUGUUAGGAUUAAACAAGGCAAUUCCUCUAAAGCAUGUGAUUUGGUUCUUGACUUCUCACCACUUUUCGGCUUCUUAUUUGCCCCAGGUACUGUCUGUUUGAAUACUCUUCUGUUUGAGUACUGUUCUGUUUGAGUACCCUGUUGAGCUUUGAGUGGCUAAUAUGGCACUGUCAUCCUCCAGGGCUAACAUCAGGCCUCAUUUUCUUCAUUGAGCCCAUCUCUCUCCCUUAUCCAGGCUAGGUCUGGGGACCCUUUCCAUGUUUCCCCAAAGGACCCUGUUUACACUCUACUCUGGCAUCUGUCAGUGUGUAAUAGCUCAUUUUCUAAUUGGUCUCCCACACUUAGGCUCAGAGCAACUAGAGAUCUAGGAACUAUAUCCCUCUCAGAAGGUGAUCUAUAAAUAUCGGGUAAGUGAAAGAAAACUCAACUCUCACUGCUAACUACGAAGCCAAGUCAAUACUUGUUCUUGGUAGUUGUACAUACAUUCCGUGGAUUCUUCAGCUGUGGGCUAUGUAGGCAGGGACUCAGGAGGAGAGGGGGACUCUGCUGGGGGAGAAGACCUCUCUCUAAGGUGGUGCAAGAAGGCUCUACCUUAUUCACAGGCCACCAUCAGCCCUUUUUUGAGUUCUUUCUCUUCCACAAAUGAUCUUGAAGUUGCUUGAAAACAGUAAAUAACAGUAAAUACCUGUUGAAAACAAUAAAUAACCUUGCCCAAGAAAUUAAACUUCUGGUCCCCAAGUCCUUGCAAGCAUCAAGUGCUGAGCCAGUGCUUUACACAGAUAAGAGCAAUAUGGUGGCAUCACAGGCUUCUUUAAUCUUUCAUUAUAUCCAUGUAGGAGAGGGAUAUGCUAUCUGAGACUCCUCUGGCUUCAAGAAGAAUAUGGGGACAGGUGGUUGCUAUACUUGUGGUGAACAUAGAAUAAUGUAUAAACUUGUGGAAUCACUGUGUUGUACACCUGAAACUAAUGUAACAUUAUGUGUCAACUAUACUCAAAUGAAAAGAAAUAAAUAAUAAAAUAAAAAUAAUUUUAAAAAAGAAUAUCCAUCAGUCAUUAAACUUUUCAGAAGGGUGGUCUCAAUGUCUAAACAAACGUUAUUAUGGGGGCAACAGAUUAUUAAGUAAGAGGCCAUCUUUGCCACCCAGAUGUCUUAUGAGACACAUUU